GGCUGCAGACCUGCCGGGGCGCAGAGAUGGAGAUGCCCAGAUGGCAGGGAGAGAUCCUAAACCCUCAGCCUUGCCCUGGCCCACCGCGGAAUGGCCCGGAGAGAUGGGGGGUUGGGGAAGAACAACAGGAUGGGGAAGGGAGGGCCAAUCAGGCUCAUCUGAAUGUAGGUCAGCCACACCCCACAUAUUGAAUACCAAGAAUCCAUCCCCUGAGAAAGGGCACCCAGGCCGGCCCUACCCCCAGCCUCGCGUCUGGUCCAAGGAGGUCCCAGGGCAGGAAUUAGAAGAGCAUGUCACUAUAUUUCCAGUUGGGGAGGGGUGCUGAGUCUGAGUGAGGAGGUGGUUUCAGUGCCAGGAGGAAUAGAAACUGGCCUGCGGACUGAAUGGGCCUUGAACCCCUGUGACCACUCCCUUCAAGAAUGUGCCCCAACCUUACGGACAAGUGACUCAAAGGAGCCUGAGGGGGAUGGGAGCAAGGAUUUGGCGCCCUUCCUGUAAAACCUGGCUGACACACAAACCUAGCUGGGGUGAGGCUCCAGGUG
rnacentral:lncRNA from 1 species